CUCACUUUGUGUAUAUAACACACACGUGUCGGCACAUUCGCCGGGGUGCUCCAACGGUUUUUACCUGCGGGGUCGGCGCAAUGGGACACGUGGAGGCAUAAC
rnacentral:sRNA from 1 species